ensembl:miRNA
GUGUGCCACCUGCGUGUUUUCUGUCCAAAUCAGAAACGGAUUUGGACAGAAAACAGGCAGGAAGAAGGAA